rnacentral:rRNA from 1 species
GACGAACGCUGGCGGCGUGCUUAACACAUGCAAGUCGAACGGAAAGGCCCUGCUUUUGUGGGGUGCUCGAGUGGCGAACGGGUGAGUAACACGUGAGUAACCUGCCCUUGACUUUGGGAUAACUUCAGGAAACUGGGGCUAAUACCGGAUAGGAGCUCCUGCUGCAUGGUGGGGGUUGGAAAGUUUCGGCGGUUGGGGAUGGACUCGCGGCUUAUCAGCUUGUUGGUGGGGUAGUGGCUUACCAAGGCUUUGACGGGUAGCCGGCCUGAGAGGGUGACCGGCCACAUUGGGACUGAGAUACGGCCCAGACUCCUACGGGAGGCGGCAGUGGGGAAUAUUGCACAAUGGGCGGAAGCCUGAUGCAGCAACGCCGCGUGCGGGAUGACGGCCUUCGGGUUGUAAACCGCUUUCGCCUGUGACGAAGCGUGAGUGACGGUAAUGGGUAAAGAAGCACCGGCGAACUACGU